rnacentral:lncRNA from 1 species
GUCAAAUGGAAGGAGAAGCUCAGGGACAUGAACGAAAGCUCUUAUUCAAAUCAGAAACAGCUGACAGAAUAACAGAGAAAUGGCCAAGAAGACAUCUGGAUGGGGUGCCACUUGAUGACAGGAGACACAACCAGAGAACUUACUCCAGCACGGUGACUAACAUGGAAGGAGAUUCUACUGCAACCUUCACUGGAAUGGCAGCACUGAAGAAAUCACUCCUGGAAAAAACAAGAAUUAUUACAUUACUCUCAGACAUCCUAGAAGGACUAAAGAUGUCAGUGAAACUAUCAGCACAGGUUAGGGAACAAAUACGGAAAGGCAGGAAAAGAGGGCUUUUAAUCAGGAAGAAAAUGCAUGUAGUAUUCUCCAAACUUAAAUCAGAAGUUUUGUACGUGAUGCAGGAUUUAGGUUCAGAUGAGCCUUUCCAAGUUAAUGGAGAUGCACAAAACUGAGUAAAAUAUGGAAAUAAAUCCUUGUAAAAGU